UUAUUCUGUGAUAAUCUAUGUGGUUAAAGAAUCUGAGAGAGAAUGGAUAUGUGUAUAUAUGUAUGACUGUAUUUGUUGACAGCGGAAAUUAUCACAACCUUGCAAAUUAACUAUACUUCGAUAAAACUUAAAAAAAAAAAACAAAACAGAAGUCCUCCUUCAUUUAUUUCUGGAUCCUUUCUGUUUGCAACACUGUAUGCAUAUGGAAGUUUUCUCCAGAAUCACCGAAGUCCAAUCUCUGGCUUCACAGAAGUUAUUAUGUUAACAGCUGCAGUAAUUCCAUCUUUCAUGUUGAUAAAUCACAAAAUCACUGAAUUCUUUUUUUUGUCCUUUUAGGACCACACCAUGGCAUGUGAAUAUUCCCAGGUUAACAUCGAAUCAGAGCUGUACUCACUGCCCUACACCACAGCCACAGCAAAUGCUAGAACCCAGCCGCAUCGGCAACCUACACCACAGCUCAUGGCAAAUCCAGAUCCCCAACCCAAUGAGCGAGGCCAGGGAUACUAGUCAGAUUGUUUCCACUGAGCCACAAUGGGAACUCCUCACUGAGUAUUUAAAUCAAAAGUUUCUGUGGUGCUUUUGACACAUUCUUAGUUGUGUCUCAGGUAGAAAGUCCUGUGCUAAUCAUGUUCAAAGAGUCCUGCCAGGGGGUACCUGGAAGAGAGGCCAAAACUCUCUCUGACAACUGCAAUGAAUUUGUGAGCACCAACUUCCGGGAGUUAAAUAUUUUUUUGUUUAAAGUAUUUAGAGGGAUUUGGCUUUCUCUAUUACACCCUGAUGGAGAUGUCUGAAACCAAGAAAGUACUUUUAAAUGUAAUCUUUUUUCUUAAAAAUUAAAAAUUAAGGACUUUUGUCUUUUCUUUUCCACACCCUAUCUGUUUAGUACCAUUCUCUGACCACUAUCCAUCAAAUCACAAUUUUGUUUAAAAGCAUCACUAAAGUUGUUUUUAUUCACAAUUGACACUUUAAAAGUUUUCUAUAUCUGCACCUACACUCCUUACCUAACAUGUUGACCUUAUCUGUUAACAGUUCCUUUUUCUCUAAUAAACAUAUUUUGACUCUAAAUACAUUUUUUCCUAGCAAAUGAAAAUUGUCAUGGAUUGACUAAAGGUAAAUUAGCAAUCCAGAAGGGCUUUUACUCUGGAUAUUGCCCACUCCGAAGAGAAGAUAAUAUUUUAUCAGUGAAUAACAACACUGUUUUCUCUGACAUUUCUUUUCCAAAUUUUAAUAAUGUCUCAAUCAAGAUAUUAAAAAUUUAUAGCAUAUUUAUGGGUAUGAUCAUGGCAGGUGUAGAUAGGAAGGAAAGAAGGAAGGGAAGGAAAGGGGAAAGAGGGAAAAGAGGGAGGAAUGAAAUGAGGAAAGAGGAAAGGAAGGGAGGAAGAAAGGAGAAAGGAAAAAAUAAAAAUUAUAGGGUAGAAUAAAUGAAAUGAUUAUUUGAAAUUACAGAAAUGGAAAUAUUGAAUUUGACAUAAGAAUAAAAUAUUAAGCAUGAAGAUACUCCCUGUAAAUAUCUAACUCACCCCCUAGAUGCAUCUUUCUAUUCUCACUGAUAGUCAAACUACCCUGGUUUAGUAACCUCUCCUAAAUUACACCAGGGCAGGUGUAUGUGGCUGGGAGACAGAAGUGAUACUAGGUCACUUUGGGUUCUGAUUUGUAGGGCUUGUGGACUAAUUGUUUCCUUGUACUCUCCUUCCCUCUCAUUCUCCCUCUCUUUCCUCGCUCACUCUGAGGACAGCAGCACCUGCCUCAUGGUGGCAGCCCUGGAGUGGCUCACAUAGCAAGGAACUGAAGCCGCUCACUCUCAGCCCUUGAGGAGUUUGGAGUAGAUUGUCCAGAGCCUUCAGGAGACUGUCACCUCACAGACAACUUGAGUGCAGCUCACCAGAGGCACUGAGUCAGGACCACCCACUAAUCCCCAACAAGAAUUGCUGACCCUCAGAAAGUGUGUAAAAUAUAGUGCACACUUGCUUCUAAGUAUUGUGUUUUGUUACACAACAGCUAUGUAAUAUAAUAUGUAAAUAGACGGAUGUCUGUGUUCAUGUAUAUGUAUGUGUACAUAUAUAUGUAAAAAUACACAUGUGCAUUUAUAUUUACAUUUAACUUUGAUAAAUGUUGCUGAUUAAGGUUAAAAACGAUCCUUUUAAGAUCAACAUUGAUUUCAGUGCAGCAUUGAAAUAGAUGGCCUAGUGCCUUUAAGCAACUUAAAAUAUAAACAGCUACUGCCAUCUAUUGGUGAUUUUAAUAACUUCCAUGCUUCCUUAGCAAUGCUUGCUUUGUUUAUUUAUUUAUUUAGGAGUGACCUAUACAUGGAAUAUAUAUAAAUACAUUCCAAGCUCUUGAAUAUAAGGUGUUUUAUACAGCAAAAAUAUUUUUAUUCAUAUUAUAUAGAUUCAUAAAAACUUAUCUUUGAAUUUCCAUUUAAAGUGGGUUCAGUGGGUUAAAGAUAUGUUGUUGUUGCCAUAAGUUUCAGUGUAGGUCACAGCUGCAGAUCCCAUCUGAUGUUGCCAUGGUUGUGGUGCAGACCGGCAGUUGUAGCUCCAAUUUGACCCUUAGCCCGGGAACUUCAAUAUGCCUCAGGUACAGAUGAAAAAGAAAAACAAAAAACAUAUGUUAAGGAAAACGUAACUUCAUUAUAAUGCCAAAACUUCUCUUUUACAACUGCUUUGGUAACACAUAAUACGUGUUCACAUUUCAUAAUAUCAUAUUGCUCUCAAUUGCUGUUUUUUUCCCAUGAUUUGUCUUCCAUGUUUCUUUUAUUUUGUACCAUGUCUAUCACAUUGUGAGUACUGGCUAAAUUUUAAUAAUGAUGAUAAAGAGUAUCUCAGAAAGAAAAAAACAUGAUAUAAUUGCAUAAUGGUUAAGAUGAUAGAUAGAUAGAUGAUAGAUAAGUUGGUAGAUAGACAGAUAAACCAAUGGCAAAAUUAGAAUAAAAACUCAAAAAGAAAUACUAAGUCCGAUUCAGGAAGAUUAAAUUUAUUCUUUUGUUAAGCUGGCUUCUCCUACCUACAAAUCUUUCUGUCCCAUGGGGUACUCAGACUAGAUAUUUGGUUAGUGUGUUAUUUCCAUGCUGAGCAUAAUAGUUAUGUUACUAAAAGCCUUUUUGUAGGCAAGUAUAUUGACAUUUGCAUAAUUUAAGGGAAAAAAUUAAUCUCAUAAAACACCUGGUAUUCAUUACUACUUUUUAUCUAUGUAUUUCCUCCUCAAUAUUUUGAUCACUUAUCCCCUUCUGUGUAGAUGACUGGAAAAAAAUCCCUUUCAUAAGUGAGAAUUUAUAUCUGUAUGAGCUGCACAUACAGCACAAAGCAGGAACAUUUAUUUUCCUACAGUUCCUUUCAAAUGCUGCAGAGGGGGUAGAGCUAGUGAAGUGUGUAAGAAAUUGUUGAUUGCGGAGUUCCCGUCGUGGUGCAGUGGUUAACGAAUCCGACUAGGAACCAUGAGGUUGCGGGUUUGGUCCCUGCCCUUGCUCAGUAGGUUAAGGAUCCGGCGUUGCAGUGAGCUGUGGUGUAGGUUGCAGACGCGGCUCGGAUCCCGCGUUGCUGUGGCUCUGGCGUAGGCCGGUGGCUAUAGCUCCGAUUCAACCCCUAGCCUGGGAACCUCCAUAUGCCGCGGGAGCGGCCCAAGAAAUAGCAACAACAACAAAAAGACAAAAAAAAAAAAAAAAAAAGAAAUUGUUGAUUGAGAAGAAAUUUAUGAAAUUCCAAUCAACAUUAGCUUGUUUUUGACUUACUUUUUUUUUCUUUUUUACUAUCUUGUGGGUAUUGUGGAUGAAUCUGUCAAAAAGAAAUUAGUAAAGACUUGGGGUGAUUUCAUAAGGUACAAUUAACGAGCAAUUUCUUUGAUGGCUCCUUUAGAAGUGUUGGAUAAUAUAAGAAACUAUCCACAAAGGACACUCCAUUCUCCUGUUUAUAAUGAAUUUUGACAUUGUUAACAAAUAUUUUCUGGCAACUAUACUGACCUCAUAAAUUUGUUUGAAAAUGUGGAAGAAAUAUUUUAACAAUGGUUUAUUUUGCAAUUACCAGAAGCCAAAUGGAGCAAAUACAGUAAGUUUUGAUAUAAUACUGUUUUUGUAAAAUUUAUUAUGUUAAAAUGAAAAGUAAAGAUAAUUAACUAUAAUAAAUAUUUUAUUAUGAAUUAUACAAGAGUACAAAAAUUAUAUACAGAAAAUCAGUAUUAAUUAUAUCUAUAUAUUGUAUCAGACAUCAUACUUCGUGCCUCAAAUUGGUCAACUAUCUUGGUACUUAAAUUGCAUAUCGUUAAAUAUUUACAUCUAGUCUUUUAUUCUUAUUGUUAAUUGUUCUAUGUUGUGUCAACUAAUGUACGUUCAGAAUAUAAACAAUAGUAGAAAUUGAUGUUGACUAUGGAAGCCACAGCUCUAAUUUAAUUUGUAUUACUAAUAGGUUAGACUAUGCCAGAGACACAUCUACACAGAGAUGUAUUAAUAUAUCAAACAGAUCAUCCAGUAAUCACUUAGUACAUUCUGAGCCUGAUGAACUUAAUAUAUUCCUCCAGAAAAUGGAAACUAGUAUUCUAUGGAAAUAUACUAAACUACAAAUAUAGCAUUACAAGAAUGUUUGGUGUUAUAUUAACACAGAUCUGAAUGGAAGAUUUCCUCUGAUCAUAAAAUUAAAACAAAAGAAAAAAGAAAAAAGAAAAAGCCUAAAUGAGAUGGAAUAAAGAAGAGGACAACAACAGAAUAAUCAGAUUUAGAAAGUGUAAGUGAAAGAAAGGUGUUUCAAAAGUAUAUUGAUAUACACCUCACGUUGUGAAUCCUAUGGAUUAAAGACUUGUUAAGCGAGCAAAAGGACUUUAGAACAUCACUGGAACUAGUUUAUGGAAUGAAUUCACUGGAGGUGAACUGGUUUCUUGGCACAUAAUUGUUCAUUCAAUUCUGCAUUUAUGCAUUCAGUGUGUGUAUUUAGCAUUGCCUAUAUUCUAGACAGAGUUCUAGGCACUGGGUAUUCGAUGGUGAACAAAAUAGACAUCUGUGCUCUCCUUGAGUUUGAACUUGGUUUGCUAUUGCUUCAUGCUGCAAGAGUUUUACUUGUCAGGUGUGAUCCCAUGUUUACCUUACAAAGAUAAUGAGGGAGAAAACCCCCAUGGGCUUAGGAGCAGUAUCAUUUUAAAAAUCCACUCCUUACUGAUGCUUGAAGAUUGGCCUUCAAACUCGAUUAGUUAAAUCAGCUGCAGUAUUUCUUUCUUCUCUAAGAUUCCUGAUAGCACAACACUUUAGCAGUCUGCUGGUCAAUUUAGUUUGGGAACUCUAUUUUGUCAUAAGUCACCUUCACACAGAUUGCUCCCCAAAUCAAAAAGUCUGUUGUUUUUCCCUUAAGGAAUGUUUCUUGGUUACUGUUGCUUAUCCUCAUUUUUAUCCUGGUAAUGACUUUGAUCUCAGAACAGCUGAACAGUCAUACCCAGGAGAAGAUCAGAAGAAUGACUCUCUUCCAUAAUCACAGAAAGUUGACCUGAUGGUCCAACCCUGACAACUGUAACUUCCAAGUGGGAGCAUCUUCACGUUGAGGAAAUGGCAAGAAAAAUCCAGAGUGAAGUUUUGGAAUGGCCUAUGAUAUAAAUUCCCCAGUUACAAGAAUACUCUUCCAUGACCUAAUGGCAUUAGAGUCAUUACUGCAAGUCUAAAGAUAUAAUGUUCAGAGGCAUUUGGGUAAAUGGCUCCUGCCUUUAUUUCAUAGCCCUAAAUUUAUUAAUAUUGACAACAUUGAACUAAACCACAAAAUAGUGAUUGUGGUCAUUAGGAAAUACACCCAACCUUAUUUUCCAACCACCUCUGCCACUACCAUGUGUGUUCUGUGAAAAGACUACAAAGAACCAACCACCUUCCCCUAUACAGUGCAAGUAAGACUCACUCCCCACUCUCUCAGAACUUAAAUAAGACUCCCAGUGGCACACUUGUUUGCCUGUGGAAAGUCCAAAUACAGACAUUCCUUCAGCCUGAACCUGUUCAAUAGGUCAGACAAAAACUGUCAAACUUCUUGUUCUUUAUCUGAUGAAUGAUUAACUGAGAUUAGCACUUUCUUUCCCCCUGAAGCUAACUGGACACAGAGAUGAACUUUUCCUCUAUAGCUAACUGACCGGGACUUUUGGCAAAGAAACUCCAGCUCUAAAUCACAAUACCUGUGACACCUGCUUCUCCUAUAAAGCCUAAGGUGAAGUCAGCUGUUGAUAAAUUGGUGAUCUCAGAUCUGGGACUUUCUCCUUAUUGCAAUAGCCUGAGUAAGUUCAAUUUCUUUACAUGUUUAAUUUUUGGCUUUGGCUUUAUCCAUGCUUUUAAACUUUCCAUGUAGCAUCUGUCUGUUUUCUUCCACAUUAAUGUUCUCAAAAAAAAAAAGGUAAUUGAAUAUUAAUAAAUUAUAUCCACAGUGCAAAGGGAAAGACAUUUACUUUGAGAUAUUAGCUCAUGUUUAUCCAAGUCACAUUCAGAUGCAGUCUUUUCUACAAGUCAUUGACAUUUCUAGAUAAAUGAGAUAACGCAUUUCAAUGAAUACUGGGAAAGUCAAUUCACCAGAGGCUAGAGUGAGGAAUUAUGGGGAAAUUCAUUUUCCUUGCCCGUUGCCUUUCAUUAACAAAGAUGAGGAACUGAGAUCAUUAAAGAGCUGGUUGAGAAUUAAAGAGGGAAAAAAAAGUUACUAAUAAAGCAACUCUUGAAGAAGAAUAAUAGGAUAAAUAAUGUAAUACUCUCUAGGCCUAUUUCUGCUAAUUCUCAGUAAAGCACAAAUCUAAGAACUGAGAAUUCUAGCAAGAUAAUUGGCAGGACAACUACUGAUUGAUAUUUUAGUUAAGAUGUCUUUUGAAUUCAGACAUAUGUGUCUCAUAUUUUAAAAAAUCUUGCUGAAAAUAACAUGGUAAAUUAGGGAGGAAGAUAAAGAUGGUGGAGGAGUAAGACAUCACACUCACCUUCUCCCACAAACAUAUCAAAAAAACACAUCUACAUGUAAAACAACGGGCAUGAAACAUCUACUGAACUGGCAGAAGAACUUAGACCCCCAAAAAGGGCAAGAAAUCCUUGACAUAACUGGGUAGAAGAAAAGAAAAAGAGAGAGAAAAAAAAAGGAAUCAGGACAGGACUAGCAUUCCUGAGAGGAAGCCAUGAAGGAGAAAAGGAACCCACACCCUGGAAAGCCACCUAAUCGACCAGGAGAUCAGCUGAGGAGGAGGGACCUCAAAGUGGCUGAGAAAAGUGCAAUAGCUGGACUGAGGACAAAGUAGAGUGAGAGCCACACCAGUCAUCUGCACGACCUCCCCAGACACCACAGCCUGAGACACUUGGGUGGGGGCUGGCCACUGAGACUUAGGCUCUGGAGGUCAGUCCCCAGGAAAGGACUAGGGUUGGCUGUGUGGAAACAGCCUGAGGGGCUAAGGAGUGGUGUGCCACGAGCGGGGGAGCAGUGUGCUACAGUCUGGGGAGUGGAAUGCCAAGGCAGAGGGAAACUGGGAGAAGGUCUGGGCCCACAGGAGAAGCAAGGCACCACUGUUGGGGAGGGUGAGAGGAGGAGGGGUGGACCCCCAUAGGAAUCCCCCUAUGCAGGCACUUGCUCAGUCUCUCAGAGGUUGGGGCACCUCUGGUGCAGGCUACGGGUGGCAGUAAGUCACUUGCUCUGGUUACGGGAGACUGGGCACUUCUUGUGCAGGCUAGGGGUGGCAGGGAAUCUCUUGUGUGGGCCAAGGGAAGCACUGGGCUAAUUGACGCUUGGUGCCUCUUGCAUGAUCUAUGGCUGUUGUCUUGGAGGCCAGAGGGAGGCCUGGCCUGCCACUUUUGGGGGCCUAUGAGUGGACUCCACCUCAGGG
rnacentral:lncRNA from 1 species